rnacentral:rRNA from 1 species
GAUGAACGCUGGCGGCGUGCUUAACACAUGCAAGUCGAACGGAAAGGCCCAAGCUUGCUUGGGUACUCGAGUGGCGAACGGGUGAGUAACACGUGGGUGAUCUGCCCUGCACUUCGGGAUAAGCCUGGGAAACUGGGUCUAAUACCGGAUAGGACGAUGGUUUGGAUGCCAUUGUGGAAAGUUUUUUCGGUGUGGGAUGAGCUCGCGGCCUAUCAGCUUGUUGGUGGGGUAAUGGCCUACCAAGGCGUCGACGGGUAGCCGGCCUGAGAGGGUGUACGGCCACAUUGGGACUGAGAUACGGCCCAGACUCCUACGGGAGGCAGCAGUGGGGAAUAUUGCACAAUGGGCGCAAGCCUGAUGCAGCGACGCCGCGUGGGGGAUGACGGCCUUCGGGUUGUAAACUCCUUUCGCUAGGGACGGAGCGUUUUUGUGACGGUACCUGGAGAAGAAACACCGGCUAACUACGU